UGCUGCCUACGGGGCGCAGCAGUGGGGAAUAUUGGACAAUGGGGGGAACCCUGAUCCAGCGACGCCGCGUGAGUGAAGAAGUAUUUCGGUAUGUAAAGCUCUAUCAGCAGGGAAGAAAGAAAUGACGGUACCUGACUAAGAAGCCCCGGCUAACUACGUGCCAGCAGCCGCGGUAAUACGUAGGGGGCAAGCGUUAUCCGGAUUUACUGGGUGUAAAGGGAGCGUAGACGGCGAUGUAAGUCUGAAGUGAAAGGCGGGGGCCCAACCUCCGGACUGCUUUGGAAACUGUAUGGCUGGAGGGCAGG
rnacentral:rRNA from 1 species